AUGGCGAUGGUCGCGUCGAACAUGAGCGGCCACAUACAAAAGCAGCUCACUAGAAGUCUUGAGCGAAUCCUGGAGGAAGCACACUUAAGCGGUGAGCUCAAGCUUAGCGGUCGAAAACUUAAGGAUUUUCCAAAAGUAGGAAAAACAGGCUCUAGUAAAUAUAAUCUUCAGGAUACAGUUAUUGCCGAUUUAUCGAAGAACCGUUUCGCCGAAUUGCCGGAAGAGGUGACGGAAUUUCUGUUCCUCGAAAAGCUUCAUCUCUACCACAAUGCCAUAAGAAUAAUACCGGAAACUGUGGUGAUGCUACAGUCGCUCAACUACCUCGAUCUUAGUCGCAACCAAUUGACUUCUCUACCUCGGGAGAUAUGCAGGCUACCGUUGCAAACGUUAUUGGUCGCUCACAACAGAUUGGCAUCUCUGCCGGACGAAUUGGGCAGGAUGUCCGCGUUGGCCGAGCUCGAUGCGGGAUGCAACGAAAUCACGAAUCUGCCACCCCGCAUGGGCGAUCUUGCGCGACUUAGGUCCUUAGAUUUGAGGAGCAACAUGAUCGUGCACCUGCCUAUAGAACUGACGUACCUGAGACUCGUAAAGCUGGAUAUCAGCGGCAAUCGGAUAUCCGUGCUUCCAAACGAGAUGAGGAAAAUGAAGAGUCUGGUCGAUUUUCGGCUGUCCGAUAAUCCUUUGACCUCGCCACCUGCCUCGUUAUGCAUUCGCGGGCGAACGCACAUCUUUAAAUAUUUGGAGAGACAGGCGGCGAAACACGAGAGGGCCAGAGGUGGCCGUGCUAGGAGAACACCUUUGGAUGUCAGAGGUCACGCGACUUUGGACACGAGGACCCACAGGCGACACAACGUAGACAGUGGAUACAGCACGAGCGACGGCGUCGACAAACGCUGGUCUCAAGAGAUUCACAGCGCGGUGCACGACGGCGAGAUUCGAGGGCUGUGGCGUCAAGAAUGCUCGCCCCUUUCGAUCACGUUGCCGCACGAGACGGGCGUGAAUGGAUCCUGCAGCGGAACCUCGACACCUAGUACCAUCUCGCCUGGCGAGCACACGUCUCUCGAGGAUGAGCUCGGCAAGGCAAUGAUACUGCACGAUCAAUUGGAAAAGAGGAAAUUAGAAAGGAGCACCUCGGAGAAUGGUGCCGAUGUCAGAAGACCGAUGACCUCUGGCUUCUAUCACGCGUCGAUUACGCCACCCGGCCCCCUCGAAUCCGCUCAUCUGAAUCAAACGGUAUCGACCAACACGCAAUCCGUGCAACCGUUGCAAACUUCGACCUCUAACGCUACCUCGUUGAUGAACGGAGACGAGAAAAGGCCGCUCAAUCAUAUUCAAACUUACAGGGAGUAUAAAGAGGCUUUGAGACAACAAAGGGCGAACGAAGGACCAAGCGUGUACAGGCCGCGAGAACAAGUUACACCGCCAGGCAACGAAUCGCAGAACAACGAGACGGACUCGGCUAGUAACAAAGACGCGGUUGCUUUGACCGGUAAACAGAUCUUCAACGAGGAGAACGCGACCAAGAGACCAGUGCAGAAGGUAACUCCGUCACGCAUCAACUAUCAGAACACGCCGAUUAUCAACGGUAGCAAUAACGAAUACAACAAUAAGAACGGGAAAUACCUCGAGCAGCCGUAUAAGAAGCCUAAUUCGCCAAUCAAAACGUCUUCGAGCAUUUUAUCUUCCAACGCAAGCCCAGGACACACGCCUAGAUUAGUCAAAACCGCUGUUGGUUACGUGGAAGGUAACAAGAGUCCGAACAGGAACGGUGGAAGUCCAAAGUCACCUCGGUCGGUUACAUGGAACAGCAACGUGCCGGAAAAAUAUUCGUUCACCAUGAGAAGAGAGUUCGAGCGUGCCAAGGAGGAAGCUGACUUGAUCGAGCAACUUCGAAACCAUAUCGAGACACGGUUGAAGAUGGCUUUGCCGGAAGAUCUCGCCCCGGCGCUAACGGAUGGAGUUGUACUUUGUCACUUGGCAAAUCACGUAAGACCCCGAUCGGUUGCCAGUAUCCACGUUCCUUCGCCAGCUGUGCCCAAGUUGACAAUGGCAAGAUGCAGGCGUAACGUCGACAAUUUUCUCGAAGCGUGUCGAAAGAUUGGCGUUGACGAGAAUCUCGUGUGCUGUGCCAGCGACGUGCUGGAAGGAGGUCGGGGAGUGGUACGUGUGGCUGUCACGGUCUCGGAGCUGCUCAGGUUCCAUCAGUCACGGUCACCGUUGCAGACCACGUCAUCCUCGAACGUGCCGAACCACGUGUCCGCUUAGCGCCAAACGAUAUAAACACGAUGUAAUCGGAUAAAAUAAUCUUGUCGACCAUGAAAGAAACGGACUCGCGGCCACGUUUUACCCGAUCGAUGUGUGUACCCGGAAAGAAGAAUGGACCCGACAGCAACGUCUUGUCAUUCGUUUUUCUAAUACUCGAGACACGUGAUUUCGUUGUAAUAGGUACAGCCACCUAAACGAAAAGACGAGACCACUUCUCGGUCCAACUUCUUCUAGAUCGAACAAUAACGCUAUAGAGGAUCGAUAAUCUCUUCAGAUUUUUAUACUCGUUACACGUACGCGUCAGAUAAUCGCGUGUCUGGUCGUAUAUCGGCGACUUUCUUUAAAUCAAAAAAAAAGAAAAAAAAGAAAAAAAAAGAAGAAAAAAAAAGGAAAGAAAAAAAAAACAAACGACGCGACAUCAAAAAUAUUUAACGCAACGUGUUAGACUGCGAUCAAUCAUGACACUUGAUUUAUUAUAGCUGUACGAAACUUUUAUAUCGGAAAAAAACAAAACGUAUCUUUGUACGAGAAAGAAGAAAAAAAAAAAAAAAAAAAAGAAGUAGCAGGAAACUAGGAUAUAAAGUAGCCUAGUUUCGUAAAAGAAAUAAGAUAUGAACGCGCGAACAGCCGUAUAAAGAAAGUUAGUAAAUAUCGGAGACACUUUCUCGGGCUCGAUUUUGCGAGAUCUCGAAGCAAUGAAAAAAGUUCCUACUUCCUGAAUAUUGAUUAUAACGCGUUAUCAUCAUAUUUUAUAGUUCUUACAUUGAUAUUAAGCCAAGCAUAUUAUCUUUAGCAAGAUAAUUGUUUUCAGUGAUUUCUGAGGAAAAAGUCGUAAUUUUACGAACUUUUUUCGUUGUGUUCCACCGUUCAAUCCCAAUAAAAUGUCUCCUAUAUCUAUUAACAGCCUGUAUAUCCGUGCUUUCUAAUAGCUGGUAAUUACGAGGCAUUUCAAUAUCGUAACGUGGAACAAUAAUCGAUUAAAUCGAUCAAAUCGAAACACGCGAUGAAUGAUAACGCAAUUUUGCACUUGAUCAAAACAUACCUAUUGGAAUUUUAUCCAUAUUUAAAUUAUCUUGCAAUUAAGUAUCUUGUGAAUCGAGCAUGCGCUAUAUAACUAAAGAUGAAUUCGCGUAGUUUAAAACGAAAUCCAUAUUGGUAAAAAUUUACGCGAAUCAGCUCAAUUAUUUCGUUUUACAAGCGAUAUUUGAUUCGUUUGUUCCGCGGUUACUUUAACGAUUUAACGUUCCCCUCCAAAGAAAAUACUAGGAAGUUGAACCAACCAUCUUUAAGUCUCGGAACGAUGCAUACACAAUCUACUGCGGAUUAAGUAGGUUUCUGCGCGAACGAAUGGUAAGUUAGUUAGUUAGUACGUUUCCAAUAUAACCGACGAUCGAUAACAGGCUCGAUUGAGAAUUUUGAUUGUCGGCAACGAUCUCGAACGAAUCGUUGAUAUAUCAUUGAAUAUCAUUCAUACUUUUAUGUAAAAUUAAGGCCUAGGUGUUCACAAAAAUGUAUAUCGUUAACGUUGCAAUUUUCUUUACGUCUAGUACGCGAUACUAAAUUAUUUUAUUCUUCUCCGUUAUUUUAUAAUUUCAACGCAUAUAUCGAGUUAUCUUUUAUCCUUGAAACGACAAUUCCAGCUACUGCCACGAUUUGAUAAUAUAUUUCUUGAAACGAUAAAACCCCGUUAGGUGCUAAACGAAUGAUCGCGUAGAAGGAAUUACGAAGGAUCUCAUAUGUCGUGAUCAGUAAAGAAUCGAGCGAUUAUGUCUCGAUAUCUCGUCAGAGUGUUCCGACAAAUAAUGCGCGUUACCGAUCCAAGCUCACCCCGACGAGAUAUCCAAUGUGGAAGAUUGUACCGUGUAUUCGUAUUUAUUGUGCCAAAGAUAUAUAUUAAUUUUUUCUCUCUAUUUCUCAUCAAGGACGAAUCUUUGCAGGUAAGCAACGAUGUUUACGAAAUAACGUCGAAGAAAGAAGACUACUACGAUAUAUCGAAGAUUGUUCGACAAGAUUUUGGAGUAAUGGAGUAAUAAGACGAUACGACGAUCACGUGCCGCUUCGUCUGUCUAUCGAACGUCCUAAUCUCCUGCGUCGAAUUCCAAGUGGAAUUAGACGCGAUUCGUCCUUUGAUCACGGCUACAUUAUCGUGAACUGAAUUUUUCACUUGUCUUUUUUCGUGAAUUUUCCCUCUCUCUCUCUCUCACUCGUUCUCCGUUCUUUCUCCUCCCUUCUCACUCCCUCAACCUCAAUUUCAUAUUUACGUUUAAUUGGACCAGCACUUCUCGUUUAUAAAUAUAUGCGAAUUCGUCAAGCGACGCAUCGCUGCGGAAUUGUAUCGUUCGCUCAAAUUAUUACGUUCGCGUUUCUCAAAAACGAACGCGCUGCUAAAUUGGCCAUCGUUUGAAACGUCUCGAUCGACUGGCUAUCAUCGUUAUCAGCAGUAUUACAAGCAAUUAUCCCACCGAUACAGGCCUUUUUAAACGUGUUCCGA
rnacentral:misc_RNA from 1 species